AUUGAACGCUGGCGGCAGGCCUAACACAUGCAAGUCGAGCGGAUGAAGGGAGCUUGCUCCUGGAUUCAGCGGCGGACGGGUGAGUAAUGCCUAGGAAUCUGCCUGGUAGUGGGGGACAACGUUUCGAAAGGAACGCUAAUACCGCAUACGUCCUACGGGAGAAAGCAGGGGACCUUCGGGCCUUGCGCUAUCAGAUGAGCCUAGGUCGGAUUAGCUAGUUGGUGGGGUAAAGGCUCACCAAGGCGACGAUCCGUAACUGGUCUGGGAGGAUGAUCAGUCACACUGGAACUGGGACACGGUCCAGACUCCUACGGGAGGCAGCAGUGGGGAAUAUUGGACAAUGGGCGAAAGCCUGAUCCAGCCAUGCCGCGUGUGUGAAGAAGGUCUUCGGAUUGUAAAGCACUUUAAGUUGGGAGGAAGGGUUGUAGAUUAAUACUCUGCAAUUUUGACGUUACCGACAGAAUAAGCACCGGCUAACUCUGUGCCAGCAGCCGCCGUAA
rnacentral:rRNA from 1 species